CAGCGAUAAAGGCAAACCAGUCGAAAGGCUGGGACGCAAAGCCAAGGGUCUUACCUUUUUAAAGGAAGAUAGCCGGUUACCGAA
rnacentral:ncRNA from 2 species